rnacentral:rRNA from 1 species
CCUACGGGGGGCAGCAGUGAGGAAUAUUGGUCAAUGGGCGCGAGCCUGAACCAGCCAAGUAGCGUGAAGGAUGACUGCCCUACGGGUUGUAAACUUCUUUUAUAAAGGAAUAAAGUGAGGCACGUGUGCCUUUUUGUAUGUACUUUAUGAAUAAGGAUCGGCUAACUCCGUGCCAGCAGCCGCGGUCAUCCGGAGAAUCCGAGCGUUAUCCGGAUUUAUUGGGUUUAAGGGGAGGUUAGAUGGGUGGUUAAGUACGUUGUAAAUGCUUGCGGCUCAAGCGUGAAAGUGCAAUUGAUACUGGCAGCCUGGAAUACAGUUGAGGUAGGAGGAAUUCGUGGUGUAGCGGUGAAAUGCUUAGAUAUCACGAAGAACUCCGAUUGCGAAGGCAGCUUACGAAACUGCGACUGACAUUGAUGCUCGAAAGUGUGGGUAUCAAACAGGAUUAGAUACCCGGGUAGUC